rnacentral:rRNA from 1 species
GAGAGUUUGAUCCUGGCUCAGGACGAACGCUGGCGGCGUGCCUAACACAUGCAAGUCGAGCGAUGAAGUUUCCUUCGGGAAAUGGAUUAGCGGCGGACGGGUGAGUAACACGUGGGUAACCUGCCUCAUAGAGGGGAAUAGCCUCCCGAAAGGGAGAUUAAUACCGCAUAAUAUUACAGUUUCGCAUGAAACAGUAAUUAAAGGAGCAAUCCGCUAUGAGAUGGACCCGCGGCGCAUUAGCUAGUUGGUGAGGUAACGGCUCACCAAGGCGACAAUGCGUAGCCGACCUGAGAGGGUGAUCGGCCACAUUGGGACUGAGACACGGCCCAGACUCCUACGGGAGGCAGCAGUGUGGGGAAUAUUGCACAAUGGGGGAAACCCUGAUGCAGCAACGCCGCGCUGAGUGAUAGACGGUCUUCGGAUUGUAAAGCUCUGUCUUUGGGGACGAUAAUGACGGUACCCAAGGAGAAGCCACGGCUAACUACUGCCAGCAGCGCGGUAAUAC